UACAUGGGGUGCAAACGUUGCUCGGAAUCAUUGGGCGUAAAGCGCGCGUAGGCGGUUGCUUAAGUCGGAUGUGAAAGCCCUCGGCUUAACUGAGGAAGUGCAUCCGAAACUGAGCAGCUAGAGUACGAAAGAGGGUCGCGGAAUUCCCGGUGUAGCGGUGAAAUGCGUAGAGAUCGGGAGGAACACCAGUGGCGAAGGCGGCUACCUGGACCAGCACUGACACUGAGGCACGAAAGCGUGGGGAGCAAACAGG
rnacentral:rRNA from 1 species